AGUUGCGUAAGUUAGAUCGAUUUACCACGGUAGUGUAGACCAGCCCUCAGUGUAGCUCCAUUUACUUCAACAGAACUGUGCUGAUAUACAGCAGGAGAAAGGAGCAGGGAACUUCUCUUCCCAACAGACCGCCUAGUGACCAUUACACUUGACAAAGUUUUAAAAGCCCCAAGAUUUCGCCACCAGUCUGCGUAAAGGGGGAAGUUGAAUAGCUCAGCUAUAUACGGUAUGCAAACACUAUGUCAUUACCAGAUGUCUGUUCACCAGUCAGGGAAAGGGAAAAUUAUAUCGUAACACACAGUACUCUUGGUAAAAUUCUACUAGUACAGAAGAAAGUAGGAAAACUUUAUCCAGAGUCUAUCAUCUGAAGCAAUUAGCGCACUAAGAGAGGUUCUAGUUCACUAACAUAUCAGCGGGCUGGAUGCAGGACUUAGUAGUUUAAAUUCUUUGGCUGUACUAUGUAGGAGGUCAAACUAGAUAAUUACAGCUGUCCCUUCUGGCCUUAAAAUCUAUGAAUCCAUCGUGUCUGCAAAUAAUAACUGCUGAAACAGGGAGAUACAGACACAACAACAUUUCAUAUGAGUUAGCUCUCUCAGUACUGACUUGACACAUGAACACCUUUUAAGUUUGCAAGCAAUCAGGAAUGAACUGACUUUUGUCCAUGCCAGAGUUCUGGUUGUAGCUUGUUUAGGAACUGCCUAUGGCACACCCAUAAAGUCUUAAAGUUCCCUGGCUCUGUAAGGAUCAAAUCAAUAUUCUUCCCCUCUGCUCUGAAUGUUGAAUUUUGUUGUGUACAAAAUCUCUACUGAUACAUUUUUCAAUGGGAAAGAUUGGCACUAAUGGUCUCCUUUUUCUUUUCUUCGUACUGUGGGCCAUCAGCAUGGGAAGAGGAGACCAUGCUAGGCUUUGCAGUCACACACAGUUUGAACAAUUUAGGAAGUGCGGUUCUCAGGAAGUUGUUUACGCACAGCUACUCCAGAAGCACUGAGAUUAAAACUUCUUGUCAGACUGGACAUGUUUACACUUUCAAGCAUGAGCUGAUUUAUUCUGAUAGGUAAUUACAAAGAUUUUUCAAACCUG
rnacentral:lncRNA from 1 species